rnacentral:rRNA from 1 species
CAGAAACUUAAAGGAAGUUGACGGGGGCCCGCACAAGCGGUGGAGCAUGUGGUUUAAUUCGAAGCAACGCGAAGAACCUUACCAGGCCUUGACAUACUAAAAAGCUUUAAGAGAUUAGAGUGUGCUAGCUUGCUAGAAUUUAGAUACAGGUGCUGCACGGCUGUCGUCAGCUCGUGUCGUGAGAUGUUGGGUUAAGUCCCGCAACGAGCGCAACCUCGUGUUUAGUUGCUAACAGUUCGGCUGAGAACUCUAAACAGACUGCCUACGCAAGUAGGAGGAAGGUGAGGACGACGUCAAGUCAUCAUGGCCCUUACGGCCAGGGCUACACACGUGCUACAAUGGGGUAUACAAAGAGCAGCGAUACGGUGACGUGGAGCAAAUCUAGAAAAUGCCUCUCAGUUCGGAUUGUAGUCUGCAACUCGACUACAUGAAGUUGGAAUCGCUAGUAAUCGUAGAUCAGCAAUGCUACGGUGAAUACGUUCCCGGGUCUU